rnacentral:rRNA from 1 species
UACAGAGGUGGCAAGCGUUGUUCGGAAUUACUGGGCGUAAAGGGCGCGUAGGCGGCUUUUUAAGUCAGACGUGAAAUCCCCAGGCUUAACCUGGGAACUGCGUCUGAUACUGAGAAGCUUGAGUUCGGGAGAGGGAUGUGGAAUUCCAGGUGUAGCGGUGAAAUGCGUAGAUAUCUGGAGGAACACCGGUGGCGAAGGCGGCAUCCUGGACCGAAACUGACGCUGAGGCGCGAAAGCCAGGGGAGCAAACGGGAUUAGAAAC